UAGUGUUACGUCGUGAUGUAAUUAACGUACGUAACGUGUGACGAUAAAUGACGUAGUUGGGAUUUUAUCCUUUUGGCGUUCAAAUUAUAAUGUACGCAUUUUGAUGUUUGUUUGGCUUGAUAAGUGGCAAUUUAGUUUCUGAAGCACUAAUGAGAAUUUGGUCUGUCAGUAAGCCACGAUUGAUUUAUGCCAACCUGAAAACUUUUAAAGAUGUUUAA